ACAUGCAGAACCAGUGACAGCCAGGUUACUCAUCAACAGAGAAAGUGUCUACACAAUGCCUCUUUAGUGGGGCAACGAGACCCAAAACAUCACCCUCACCCGUGGCCAGGAAGGGCAGGGGACACAGGCACAGCCCCCUGGGUGGCCACCCCUGGUCACAGUGCCUGAGCUGGAUGAGCUCAUAAUGCAGGUAGCGUCCAUGCCAGGGCUCUGCCGGGCCGGAGACAGAGGUACCAGGAAGAGUUCUCCAUCCGGAGGGCUUCCAGUGGGGGCUGUGAAUGCCAGGAUGGUGGGAGCCCUCUCUCCUGGGAAGGGAGCCUGUGUCUGAGUUGGAGUCCAAGGGACAGAGAUAUGCAAAUAUCGCGGUUUUCCAGUCCUGAAACAUCGAUACGGUCUGAUAGAGUCAGAGGCACGGCGCUUGGCGGGUAGCGAGGAAGACUUUGGUGACAUAAGCAGAACGUGGUCCACGCCUCCGUCUCCGAGGGGAAAGGCAGGCGCAGCAUCAGACACGGGUGGCAGUGAGUCCCAGCGGGACAGACAGUCUUGGGUGGAAAUAAAGAGUUACUAGAUACUGUAA